rnacentral:ribozyme from 1 species
UGGCCAGCAACUCCUAUCACUAUCUCCUCGCGGUACUGGCCGGGAAACGAGUAACCUUAGGGUAGAUCGGGCAACCAUAACCCCGGAGGCAACUCUGGUCGUAUACUGAAAGGAGGG